GUUACAAGACACGGUCUUCUGAGACACGUGUUGCCCUUUGGGCGUUCAUCUCUUUGAGAAGAGAGAGAGAGAGAGUUGAAGGAUCGAUGGCGGAAGGCGUGCGAUGAUCCCCAGCGACUGAAGAAGAUUGCGGCUGAUAGUCGCUGUUAAUCCGUCGUGUUCUGGAGGUCGCUUCUUAAGACUAACCUUCAGCCACCACCUGCUCCUUCUCUUCGUCUGUCUAUUCUCGUUACUGGCGCGGACGAAUCAAUGUCGGAACCGUCGUGAAUUCAGCUCGCAGACGCCACGACGUCGGGGGAUUAUUAGUUUUUGGCUGUCUCUCUUCGCCGGAUUCUUCAUCUCCACCGUCUUCUAUCUCUGGUCCGAAGACGAAACUGUAUGUGAGUGGGAUCUUUUAAGGGAGGAAGACCAGUGGUUAUAUGAAUGAUAUUCAAGAGUUUGAGCCUGUGGUAAGGCCGCCAACUAUGGAAUCAAACUAUCCUUUCCUGGAGAUUGAAGAGGUUGUGGCUGGUGGUGAUGGAAUCAAACUAUACUCAUAGCAACUGUGUAUGUGCCUACUGCUAAAGGACCUUUCCUUGAGGAUCUUUCUCGCUCUGUGGUGCCUCCAAAGAAGCCAAGCAUAGCUGAGGAGCCUGCAACAUCUUUGUCUCCGUUUUCUACGGCUCGUGCAUCUCACAACACAGAUAACUCUUCUUCUCUUACCAUUCUUCUCAUGUUCAGAAAAUAAUCAAAAACUUUUUAUAUAUUUUUAUCACAAAUUCAUACAUUUUGAUCACAAAUUCAUACAUUUUAAUCACAAAUUAUACAAUACUCAAAAACAAUGUUUAAUUUUUUUUUAAGAACUCCUAAAUAAAAAACUCCCAUUGGAGCACAAAAAUGUUCAUGUCUCUUAACUAGGUCUCUUAAAUAAAAUUUAGUAUUUAAAAAUUAUUAAGAAAUCCAAAGUGAGUUUUUGGGUUAAUGAUGCUCUUAUCAGUUAAGGCGACUUAACCGUAGAUGUCAUCUGUUCCAACUUCGAAGGCAUGUGGCUACUAAGCACCACUUUUUUAGCUUGAAUUUUUAUUUAAAACUUCCCAUGGGCAUCAAUAAAGUUACAAGCAAACUAGAAUUUAAGCAAAAGACGGUACAACCAAAAUUGGUAGAUUAGAGUCAUCAGACACGCAACCAAGUUUUGGGCGCAACUCCGGAUCCUUCCCUCAUCACCAUUGCUCCGGUUAAUCCGGCAAGGGAGUUAAAUCCCACUCUCUUCCUAGCUGAAGUAACUGUAGACUUUGAAGCGCAGAAGACGACAGAAACACGUACCUGAUAACUUCGGAGACGAAACACCAAGCGCAUACUCAUAACACACAAGACAGCCAGUAAAAAGAUCACCUCAGCCGCUACAAAGAGAAACCAAAGGAACUCACCGCAAAACACACAAACACACUAAACAGAUGCAAGAAACGGGCUUGACAAGACCAUUGUACUCUCACUUGAUAUGUUCUUCAACCUGCACAAAGUGUAGACCAGCAACACUACC